rnacentral:ncRNA from 1 species
GGGGAUCUUCGGAGCCCGUUCACCCGCAGGCCGCAAGGUCUGUGCAAGCAAACGGAAGACAGAGA